rnacentral:rRNA from 1 species
UACGGGGGGAGCAAGCGUUGUUCGGAUUUACUGGGCGUAAAGGGCGCGUAGGCGGUCAGCACAAGUCAGUUGUGAAAUCUCCGAGCUUAACUCGGAAAGGUCAACUGAUACUGUGCGACUAGAGUGCAGAAGGGGCAACUGGAAUUCUUGGUGUAGCGGUGAAAUGCGUAGAUAUCAAGAGGAACACCUGCGGCGAAGGCGGGUUGCUGGGCUGACACUGACGCUGAAGCGCGAAAGCCAGGGGAGCGAACGGG